GGGGUAUAGCUCAGUUGGGAGAGCGCUUGACUGGCAGUCAAGAGGUCGUGGGUUCAAUUCCCUCUACCUCC
rnacentral:tRNA from 1 species